ACAUAUGAACAAUGGGGUUAGGC
rnacentral:piRNA from 1 species